rnacentral:hammerhead_ribozyme from 1 species
GCACUUCUGACGAAUGCCACAAUGGGACGAAACGGCCGUCCAGUGC